UACGUAGGGGGCAAGCGUUGUCCGGAUUUAUUGGGCGUAAAGAGCGUGUAGGCGGCCAAGCAGGUCCGCUGUGAAAACUCGAGGCUCAACCUCGAGACGUCGGUGGAAACUGUUUGGCUAGAGUCCGGAAGAGGAGAGUGGAAUUCCCGGUGUAGCGGUGAAAUGCGCAGAUAUCGGGAAGAACACCCGUGGCGAAGGCGGCUCUCUGGGACGGUACUGACGCUGAGACGCGAAAGCGUGGGGAGCGAACAGG
rnacentral:rRNA from 1 species